rnacentral:rRNA from 1 species
AAUUUGUAGUCUGAUUCGUGAAGUAGGAGCAAGGGUUGUUCCUACUACUGCCACCAUGUAUAAAUAUAUACUUGUUAAUUUCAUUUAACUAUUUUUUUCUGUCACAAAUAAUAGUACUAUGCUGGUCAAGUGGGCAGCGUAUAGAAUCGUCUUGCACAGAAGUAACACGGAUAAUAUAAUCAAUGGGUUUAUGAUAGAAAAUCAUUUCUGUAUAUCCUGAAUGAAUAUAAACGAUGCAUGAUUAUUUCAAGUUGCACUUUCCUAUCUAUUAUCUCAUUGUUUAUCAAGUAUUUUCAUGUUUCAUAGUCCACUACAUUACAAUGGGUUUAUAUGGCCUCAACUACUGCUGCUAUAGUAGGAGUUCUGUGAUGUGUGUUUCGUCACUUUGUCAUUUGACACACUUUUCUUUGGGUUAAUUUUAAGCAACCUCAUGUUUAAUCUUGUUUUAUAGUAGAUACAAUGUUAUUCUCAUUUGUAGGCACUACAAGAUUUAAGAAUUCUGGACAUGUAAUUCAUUUUUAUAUUUGUUGCAAUUUUCUUAUUUCUACUAUCUAUCCAUAUGUGCAAAUAUCUAAUAUUCUUGUUAAUAUGCUAGGUAAGAUUGGAUACUGUGCUACUUGGUGCUGCCCAUCACGGCAUGAUCGUUGCCAUCAAGAACGUCGAUGGCAAGAGCUUGAAUAACAGCCUCGAUAGUUUAUAUGUUCUGUUGAUGUAAAAUGGAUUGUACUGGUUCAUAACUCUGUUGUGUGAUAUAUUUUGUCAAUCUAUGAUGUAUGUCAUCACUUUGUAGAUGAUUUUUUAAAUUGCUGUGUUGUAGAUACAUACAGAUGGCUAUGUUAAACUUUGUAAUGUUUCAC